rnacentral:rRNA from 1 species
GUGGGGAAUAUUGGACAAUGGGCGCAAGCCUGAUCCAGCCAUGCCGCGUGUGUGAAGAAGGCCUUUUGGUUGUAAAGCACUUUAAGCGAGGAGGAGGCUACUUGGAUUAAUACUCUAGGAUAGUGGACGUUACUCGCAGAAUAAGCACCGGCUAACUCUGUGCCAGCAGCCGCGGUAAUACAGAGGGUGCGAGCGUUAAUCGGAUUUACUGGGCGUAAAGCGUGCGUAGGCGGCUUUUUAAGUCGGAUGUGAAAUCCCUGAGCUUAACUUAGGAAUUGCAUUCGAUACUGGGAAGCUAGAGUAUGGGAGAGGAUGGUAGAAUUCCAGGUGUAGCGGUGAAAUGCGUAGAGAUCUGGAGGAAUACCGAUGGCGAAGGCAGCCAUCUGGCCUAAUACUGACGCUGAGGUACGAAAGCAUGGGGAGCAAACAGGAUUAGAAACCCUGGUAGUCC